rnacentral:rRNA from 1 species
UUGGAGGGCAAGUCUGGUGCCAGCAGCCGCGGUAAUUCCAGCUCCAAUAGCGUAUAUUAAAGUUGUUGCAGUUAAAAAGCUCGUAGUUGAAUUUCGGGGUUCUACCGUCGGUCGGGCUACCAAGUCUGUACUGGUGUGUAGAAUUUCUACCUUCUGGGGAACCAUCAUGUUAUUAAUUUAGCGUGGUGGGAAACCAGGACCUUUACCUUGAAAAAAUUAGAGUGUUCAAAGCAGGCUUAUGUCUGAAUACAUUAGCAUGGAAUAAUAGAAUAGGACGGUGGUCCUGUUUUGUUGGUUUCUGAAUCACCGUAAUGAUUAAUAGGGAUAGUUGGGGGCAUUAGUAUUCAAUUGUCAGAGGUGAAAUUCUUGGAUUUAUUGAAGACUAACUUCUGCGAAAGCAUUUGCCAAGGAUGUUUUCAUUAAUCAAGAACGGAAGUUAGGGGAUCGAAGACGAUCAGAUACCGUCGUAGUCUUAACCAUAAACUAUGCCGACUAGGGAUCGGACGAUGUUAAAUUUUAUUGACUCGUUCGGCGCCUUACGGGAAAC